GUGGGGAAUAUUGGACAAUGGGCGAAAGCCUGAUCCAGCCAUGCCGCGUGUGUGAAGAAGGUCUUCGGAUUGUAAAGCACUUUAAGUUGGGAGGAAGGGCAGUAAGUUAAUACCUUGCUGUUUUGACGUUACCGACAGAAUAAGCACCGGCUAACUUCGUGCCAGCAGCCGCGGUAAUACGACGGGUGCAAGCGUUAAUCGGAAUUACUGGGCGUAAAGCGCGCGUAGGUGGUUUUGUAAGUUGGAGGUGAAAUCCCCGGGCUCAACCUGGGAACUGCCUCCAAAACUGCAUGACUAGAGUACGGUAGAGGGUAGUGGAAUUUCCUGUGUAGCGGUGAAAUGCGUAGAUAUAGGAAGGAACACCAGUGGCGAAGGCGACUACCUGGACUGAUACUGACACUGAGGUGCGAAAGCGUGGGGAGCAAACAGGAUUAGAUACCCCUGUAGUCC
rnacentral:rRNA from 1 species